rnacentral:lncRNA from 1 species
UGGCCGCUGCUGGCGGUGGCCACUGGAUCGAUCUACUGGAAGCGCGGCAUCAAGCUCACGCCGCUCACCCCGGCGCUCGCCGCGACCUACAUCGCACUGGGAUUUCUUGGAGCCCUAGAUAAUUUCAUGUAUGCCUAUGGCCUGGCAUACCUCCCGGCCUCCACGAAUGGCCUCCUCUCCUCCAGCCAGCUCGCAUUCAAUGCGAUCUUCGCGCUGAUCAUCACGCGCCAGAGGAUCAAUCCCUUCGGGUGGAACGCGAUCGUGCUGGUGAGCAGCGCCGCCAUGAUCUUGGCGCUUCACUCCGACGAUGAGAAGCUCCCGGGCGUGACGAGGAAGGAGGUCGUCCUGGGCUACGUGAUGACGAUCGGCGCCGCGGCGCUGUUUGGAUUGCUCUACCCUCUCAUCGAGCUUGCAAUCCGGAAAUUUCUCACCAGAUCGAGCGACGGCGGCGCCGCCGCCGUCGUGUUGGAGAUGCAAACCCUGCUCUCGCUCAUCUCCACCGCGGUGGCCAGCGUCGCCAUGGCGAUCAACCACGAUUUCCUGGCGAUCCCGGGCGAGUCGCGGCGAUUCAAGGCCGGCGCUGCGAGCUACUACCUCACGCUCGUCUCCACCGCCGUGUCGUGGCAAUUCGCAUUCUUGGGAACGCUGGGGAUAAUCUUCCUCUCCUCGUCGCUGCUCGCGGGCGUGAUUUUGGCGCUCGCGAUUCCCAUCGGCUCCAUAUUCGCGGUCAUCUUCUUUGGCGAUAGCUUCGGCGGCGUCAAGAUCAUGUCCAUGCUGCUCUCGCUCUGGGGAUUUGUGUCUUACACCUUUGGCGGAUACGUGGACAUGAAGAAGGCUUCCAAGUUGGAGCCCUAAAAUAAAGAAUAUUUUAGUUUUCGUCUUCUACCAAAGGAAAAAAAUUAAGGAUAAAUAUUCAUUAGACCCCUAAAGAACACAUCUUAAAUCCAUACCAACACCAGCUUUUUGUCAAAUCUAACACUGUGUUUGCCACAUUUUCGAUUUAGGUUAGAAGCUUUUCGUUAUGUUCACAUAACAACAUUACUCUUGCAGCUGCGUCACAUGAGUUGGUUAGGAUUUUAUACUUCAUGUAAGUGUUAUAAACAAGAUCUAGGUGCUGAUUAAAUCCUUGAUGUACUGCUCCAACUUCUGUAGGAUGAGCGCCAAAAUCACUCUUGCAAGCAAUGACAAGGAGAGGAAGAUUAUCCACCAGCCUUCUCAAGAAAGCGAAUUGACACGACAUGGUGGUCAUGAGGUAGUAGUUUGCAGCACAAUCCCUUCAUCCAUCCCUUCUCUCAUCCCAUGAUGAGUAAUUUUUAAAAAUAUAUAUAUAUAUAAAUAAAUAAACCCAAAAAAGCUAUUUGUCUUUUUUUCUUGGCCAUCAUUAGAUGUUUUCCUAUUUAUUUAGCUCUCCAGACUGUGGCAUAUUAGUUAACUAAUUAGUUGCUGACUUAGUGUUCUCUAGAGAUAGUCAAAUUGAACCCUGAGCUCUGACCUUCACCUUGGUCUGCCACCAAACGGCAAAGACAAUCAUCUAGGCAACCUAUUUAAAUCCUUUGGUUUCAUGGGUUGUAACGAGACCAUGUAAACAGAAUAUAAAUGAAUGAAUGAAUGAAAUAUGUUAGACUUGGUGGUGGUCCUAUAUUUAUUCACCCUCACUGGCAACUAUUGCUUUAUCAUACAACUUUUGCUUUUCUUUUUCUUGCUCCUUUCUUUUAUUCCUUCAUUAUACUUGCUGCAUGCUCCAUAUUUGUAUAUUAAUUUCUAAGUAUACCAGCAUACGAUCAGUCUUUUCUAUUUCUAUCUAUAUGUUCUUCCUAGCUUUUUGUCAAAUCUAAGAUUUUACCUAUCACUGUGUUUACAUUUGCUCUUCCAUUUUAAUCCUCAUUUCUUAUACCAUGCCACACUGUCAUUCUCGAUUUAGGUUAGAAGCUCUAAGUGCUACUUCGUUGUGUUCACAUAGCAACACACUUUUGCAGCUGCAUCACAUGAGUAUAUAUUUGUUUGGAUUUUACACUUCAUGUAAGUAUUACAAACAAGAUCUAAAACAAUAUAUAACAUGUUAUGUAAUUGUAUUGGUACUGCUAAAAUCCUUGGUGUAUUGCCAUUUUCAACUUCUAUAAGGUGUGAUUACAAUGUUGCUUCUCUUAUCCUCAUAACAAGGAAUUCAGAGAUGAAUUGAAAAUAUCAGAAUGUAAUGGUGCCAUUCUUUAAAUUUGAUGUUUAACUUCCUUUUUUUUUUCUUUCUAAUCUUAUAUUUUUUCUUGGUCUUUACCACACCUUGUGCUACCAUAGGGCUUUAUCUUCAUUUACAACCAUUUCUUUUUUCUCAUGAUCUUUCUUAUGAUUGCAUGGUUUCACAAAGGUUCUGGGCAGCUCAAGAACAAGAGAGUUUAGGAUAAAAGUGUUGCCUUUGUUCUUAGUGAUCUUAUGCCUCUAGAUGGGUGCUAUAAACCCCCAAAACAUGAUAGGUGUUAACAGAUCCCAAUUAUUUCUUGCACAUUGAUCACUAAUGACUUUUAGUGACUUGUUUUGUCCCAUUCCCCUGUUUUAAUCGUUUAGAGUGUGAAUGUCACUAAGAAUUUUUUUCUUACUGUUUUUCAAUUUCAUUCUCUUGAGAGAAUGAUCCCAUUUUCACAUGCUUUUUUCCUCAAUUUUUCUUCUUUUCCAUGAUUCUUUCUUUAGAAAAUGGAUGGAUGAAUAAGAGUCUAGCCAUAAUGAUAGAGUGAAAAUAAGGAUGAAUAAUUAGGAUUGUGGUGUAAAGACUGUGAUCAAGGGGCUGGAGGAUUGACAAGGCAUGCAGACUCUUCAAGGGGCACUCCAAAAGUCAAAGGUCAAGAAGCUGUUUGCAAUUGCAUACACCUACUGCAAUGAUCUGAUAUCAUUGAUCUGAUAUGAUCUGCAGCGAUACUUAGUUUAACCACUUUUAAUAUCCUAGGAAUUUAUCAUAAAUACAAUGCAAACCAUUUUUAAGUCAAUUAGAAAACUUCUGGUAAGCUAAAUUAUCAUUCUAGUCAUGAAUUAAAUGUAAGUGGGCCUUUAAGAGAUUUCCACUAGUCAUUUAUAUAUCUUUAAGACAAAAUGAUUUGGAGAAAGAAUAAGCAAGUAGAACUAGAAAUGAAGAAACACUUGAGCACACAGAGAGACUACCAAAGAGAACUUAAGUGGAUAGAAUACAAUGCCUCAAACACAUGAGGUGACGUCAACUUUCUCUCCCAAUCCAUGUAUUUUUCAUUGCAAAUGUUGACAAGUAUGUAACAGCAUGCACGACAUGAUAAAAUUACAAGUUUCUGUUAACUCUAUGAUUUGCUAUUGUUGAACAACAACAUUUUCAGCUAGAUUAUACUUAAUUCGAAGCUUACACAUCCCCAAAAUGUAAUUUAAAUAAUAACUAUAAAUUAAUACCAAGUGUGCAGCAAAUUAUUACUAGACAUAAUGAAGGAAUAAAAGGAGGAGCAAUAAGCAGAAAGAAAAAGCAAAAGUGUAUGAUAAAGCAACGGUUGCUAAUUAGGGUGAAUAAGUAUAAGACUACCACCAAGUCUAACAUUUCUUGUGCCAAGCCGCAAAGACAGCACCUAACUAAUUAAUUAUGAACUCCUUAAUGUAGAGAACCAUGCCACGGUCUGGAGAGCUAAGUAAUGCCACCUAAUCUCGAUUUGCCCAUUGUAGAGGUGGUGUUUUUGCAGAUGUGCUGGCAGUCGAAGAAGAUUAGGAAAACAUGGUGGUGGGUACUACAUGACCAUAUCUAAUAAUAGUGGCUGGCAACUUUUCCUUUAGCAUUGAUCUUCUGGGUUCAAGUUUUGCCUCCAUCAAUCUUCUUCUUGGGAUCAAGAAUGGACAACAACACCACCGUGGACAUGUCUCUGAUCAAUAACGGCAAGAACAGCAGUAAGUAGAGAGAAAUGAGAAAGAAGCAAAAUGAAGGAACAGAAAAAAAUCUUUGCUCGAUCCAAAUCUCUAAUUACCUUUUGUUCAUCCACAGCAGCUGCGGCUCCACCCGCGAGCAAAAUCUUUCACCACGACUCAAGAUUUCGGCAAUUCCUCGUCUCCAAGCCCCUCGAGGCCCUGCGAUCCAAACCCCGGCUCCACUGGCUGCUCCUCUCGCUCAGCAUUCUUUCGAUGAUGAUCGGGACGGUCGUCGGGCAGCUGCUCACGCGAUUCUACUUCGCGGCCGGGGGAUCGCGCAAGUGGCUCUCGACAUGGCUCCAAACGUCGGGAUGGCCGCUGCUGGCAGUGGCGACUGGAUCGAUCUACUGGAAGCGCGGCAUCAAGCUCACGCCGCUCACACCGGCGCUCGCUGCAACUUACACCGCACUGGGAUUUCUUGUGGCUCUAUAUAGUUUCAUGUAUGCCUAUGGCCUGUCCUACCUCCCGGCCUCCACCAGCGGCCUCCUCUCCUCCAGCCAGCUCGCAUUCAACGCGAUCUUCGCGCUGAUCAUCACGCGGCAGAAGAUCAAUCCCUUUGGAUGGAACGCGAUCGUGCUGGUGAC